ACACGACCCCAGGUCAGGCGGGGCCACCCGCUGAGUUUAAGCAUAUCAAUAAGCGGAGGAGAAGAAACUUACGAGGAUUCCCCUAGUAACGGCGAGCGAACCGGGAAAAGCCCAGCUUGGGAAUCGGGCGGCCGCGCCGCCUGAAUUGUAGUCUGGAGAAGCGUCCUCAGCGACGGACCGGGCCCAAGUCCUCUGGAAAGAGGCGCCAGGGAGGGUGAGAGCCCCGUCCGGCCCGGACCCUGCCGCACCACGAGGCGCUGUCGGCGAGUCGGGUUGUUUGGGAAUGCAGCCCCAAUUGGGCGGUAAAUUCCGUCCAAGGCUAAAUAGCGGCGAGAGACCGAUAGCGAACAAGUACCGCGAGGGAAAGAUGAAAAGGACUUUGAAAAGAGAGUCAAAGAGUGCUUGAAAUUGUCGGGAGGGAAGCGGAUGGGGGCCGGCGAUGCGCGCCGGCCGGAUGCGGAACGGCCCUUCCGGGG
rnacentral:rRNA from 1 species